GGCGACCAGCCCUGAAACAGAAGUUGGACAUUUUUUAAAGGUUCUUGCGCUCGGCAAGGGGAGCAGAUAGAUGCUCAGGAGCGAAAGACGCAGAGAAUUGGAUCUGGCGCCUCCUAACGCAGCCCGCACAGGAGCGAAGGAUACGGGGUUUCACCGUGCUAGCCAGGAUGAUCUCGAUCUACUGACCUCGUGAUCCGCCCGCCUCGGCCUCCCAAAGUGCUGGGAUUAUAGGCGUGAGCCACCGUGCCCGGCGGCUGUGGCUAAUUAUUAGGCACUGGGUAGGAACACAGCCAAGAACGAUUGCAGGAUGGGUCCUUCCAGGACACUGACGUCUCAGCUUGCGCACUGUGAGUCCCUGGACGAGUUACUCCACCUCUCUGAACCUCCUCCUCACUUGCAUAAUGGGAAAAAUAAUGGACAUAGGAAGAUGAAACAAGACCUUGGAGACCACAUUUACCAUCUUAUUUUCCUUGUUCCUUUUUCUUUUCUUUUUUUGUUUUUGUUUGUUUGUUUUUUGGAGACAGGGUCUCACUCUGUCACCCAGGCUGGGGUGCAAUGGCGCGAUCUCAGCUCACUGCAACCUCUGCCUCCUGGGUUCAAGGGAUCCUCCCACCUCAGCCUCCCGGGUAGCUGGCACCACAGACGCACACCACCAUGCCUGGCUAAAUUUUUUUGUAUUUUUAGUAGAAGUGGGGUUUUACCAUGUUGGCCAGGCUGUUCUCGAACUCCUGGCCUCAAGUGAUCCGUCCACCUCGGCCUCCCAAAGUGCUGGGAUUACAGGCGUGAACCACCGAGCCCGGCCCCUUGUUCCCUGUUCUGUUUUCCUUUUCACUCUUAUCACUGAUCACCAUCGAUCAUAUUAUCUACAUAUCUACAUAUCUAUUAGAUUGGCGCAAAAGUAAUUGCUGUUUUUGCCAUUACCUCCAAUGGCAUUACUUUCAGUGGCAAAAACUGCAAUUACUUUUGCGCCAACCUAAUAUAUUGAGACAGGGUCUCUGUCACCCAGGCUGCUGGAGGGCAGUGGCACAAUCACAGCUCACUGCCAUGUCCAACUCCUGGGUUCAAGUGAUCCUCCCGCCUCAGUCUCCCGAUUACCUGGGACUACAGGCAUGUACCACCACACCCAGCCCGUUUUUUUGUUUGUUUGUUUUUGAAACAGUUUUGCUUUUGCCCCCCAGGUUGGAGUGCAAUGGCAUGAUCUUGGUUCACUGCAACCUCUGCCUCCGGGGUUCAAGCGAUUCUCCUGUCUCAGCCUCCCAAGUAGCUGGGAUUACAGGUGCCUACCACCACACCUGGCUAAUUUUUGGUUGUGUGUGUGUGUGUGUGUGUGUGUGUGUGUGUGUGUGUGUUGGAGUCUGGCUUUGUCACCCAGGCUGCUGGAGUGCAAUGGCGCAAUCUUCGGCUCACUGCAACCUCUGCCUCCUGGGUUUAAGCAAUUCUCCUGCCUCAGACUCCUGAGUAGCUGAGAUUACAGGUGUCCACCACCACGCCCGGCUAAUUUUUGUAUUUUUAGUAGAGACAGGGUUUCACUGUGUUGGCCAGGCUGGUCUCCAUCUCCUGACCUCAGGUGAUCCACCUGCCUCAGCCUCCCAAAGUGCUGGGACUACAGGCGUGAGCCACCAUGCCCGGCUCAAGUUUCUUUUUUUCUUUUUUUCUUUUUUACAUUUUGUAGAGACAGGGUCUCACUAUGUUGCCCAGGCUGGUGUCGAACUCCUGAUCUCAAGCAAUCCUCCCUCUCUGGCUCCCGAAGUGCAGGGAUAAUAGGCAUGAACCACUGUGCACAGCCCAUAUUUUAUAUUCUACUUAACUGAGUUUCUAUAGUUUUUACUCCUCCCACUAGGAUGUCUGUUUUGUUUACCUCCAUAUCUCCAGCCCCUAGAACAGAACUUGGUUCAUGGUGGGUUCAGUAACUAUUUGAAUUAAAUGAAUAGAUGCACGUAAAA